rfam:Glycine max mRNA for early nodulin, complete cds, clone:GmN36a.
AUGGAGCUUUGUUGGCAAACAUCCAUCCAUGGUUCUUGAAGAAGCAUGGAGAUAAAGGGGUGUGAGAGGGUCCUCACCACUCACACUCCUCCACUUAAAACAGUUUGUUUUGGCUUAGCUUUGGCUUCUCUAAUCAACAAGGGAUGUGUUCUAACAUUCUCUCUUGAGUGGCAGAAGCAGAUAUGCAUUCUCCAAAGGAGGAGAGGCUUUGGCUACAGCCUGGCAAACCGGCAAGUCACGAAAAGGCAAUGGACUCCAUUGGGGUCUC